GAUGAACGCUGGCGGCGUGCCUAAUACAUGCAAGUCGAGCGAACGGACGAGAAGCUCGCUUCUCUGCUGUUAGCGGCGGACGGGCGAGUAACACGUGGAUAACCUACUUCUAAUACUGGGAUAACUACGGGAAACCGGAGCUACUACUGGCUCAUACUUCCAACCGCAUGGAUCAAAAGUGCAUCACGCUCUUGCUGUCACUUAUAGACGGAUCCGCGCUGCAUUAGCUAGUUGGUAAGGUAACGGCUUACCAAGGCAACGAUGCAUAGCCGACCUGAGAGGGUGAUCGGCCACACUGGAACUGAGACACGGUCCAGACUCCUACGGGAGGCAGCAGUAGGGAAUCUUCCGCAAUGGGCGAAAGCCUGACGGAGCAACGCCGCGUGAGUGAUGAAGGUCUUCGGAUCGUAAAACUCUGUUAUUAGGGAAGAACAGAUGUGUAAGUAACUGUGCACAUCUUGACGGUACCUAAUCAGAAAGCCACGGCUAACUACGUG
rnacentral:rRNA from 1 species